ACUCUCCAGGCUCAGGUUUCCACUCCCCCGGCUGCGGGAAGGACAGUCAAUCCUGAUUUCAUUAUCGAAAGCCUUGGAAGACCCUUGACUCAUAGAUCUCGCCUGCCUUCUUGGAAAGAUCCGUGAUGCUGAUGCCAGGAUGGUCUGACUUGAUCUUCUCUCGGCUGGCAUUGAGCCACAGCAUGUAUGCAGACAUGGGCCUCUUGGGGGCAUUGGGGUCUUUGCCCUUCUUCACCUACAUAAGAACCCAAAUGCCUUCAGCUAUUUCCCACAGAACCCAUACAUUUUCCCAAAUAAAUUAUUUAGAUCAC
rnacentral:lncRNA from 10 species